GUGUAUCUAAAUGAAAUCUAUCGAUCUUGAUAGAGAGGAGCAGUCCUAUGAGAUUUGAGAAGUUAAGUCCACAAGCCUAUAGUCAUAGCAGUGUGAUUGAUGAAAAAGAGUUUUUAUUUAGAAUCACUAUUAGACUUGAGCUGAUCGGAUCUAUCAUAUGACUAAUGAUAAGGUUUGACGAUUUAUCUAUGACCUGCCAUCUAGUCGGAACUUAUGAUAGAGAGACUGUAUCAUAGAUUAAGUACAUCUAAAUAUUUUAUUUCGAUUAUGCUGAGUUGCC
rnacentral:lncRNA from 1 species